UACGUAGGGUGCGAGCGUUGCCCGGAUUUAUUGGGCGUAAAGGGCGCGUAGGCGGCUACGCACGUCCGUUGUGAAAUCGCUCGGCUCAACUGGGCGGGGUCAGCGGAUACGGCGUAGCUGGAGCAAGCUAGGGGGCAAUGGAAUUCCCGGUGUAGUGGUGGAAUGCGUAGAUAUCGGGAGGAACACCGGUGGCGAAGGCGGCAUUCUGGACCGACAUUGACGCUGAGGAGCGAAAGCCAGGGGAGCAAACGGG
rnacentral:rRNA from 1 species